GCAGUGGUGGUUCUGCGGUAGAAUUCUCAACUUCCAUGUGGGAGACCAGGGUUCGAUUCCCAGCCAAAGCA
rnacentral:tRNA from 1 species